rnacentral:sRNA from 1 species
AGCAGCCGCGGUAAUUCCAGCUCCAAUAGCGUAUAUUAAAGUUGUUGCAGUUAAAAAGCUCGUAGUUGAAUUUCGGGAUUAAUUUACUGGUCGUGCUAUCGUACGUACUGGUUUUAUUGAUUCCUCCCUUCUGACGAACUAUGAUGUCAUUAAUUUGGUGUCUUAGGGAAUCAGGACUGUUACUUUGAAAAAACUAGAGUGUUUAAAGCAGGCUCACGCUUGAAUACAUUAGCAUGGAAUAACGGAAUAGGACGUUUGAUUCUAUUUUGUUGGUUUCUAGGAUCGACGUAAUGAUUAAUAGGGAUAGUUGGGGGCAUUAGUAUUCAAUUGUCAGAGGUGAAAUUCUUGGAUUUAUUGAAGACUAACUACUGCGAAAGCAUUUGCCAAGGAUGUUUUCAUUAAUCAAGAACGAAAGUUAGGGGAUCGAAGACGAUCAGAUACCGUCGUAGUCUUAACCAUAAACUAUGCCGACUAGGGAUCGGAUGAUGUUAAUUUCUUAAUGACUCAUUCGGCGCCUUAC